rnacentral:rRNA from 1 species
CAACUCGCCUACAUGAAGCUGGAAUUGCUAGUAAUCACAGGUCAGCAUACUGUGGUGAAUACGUUCCCGGGCCUUGUACACACCGCCCGUCACACCAUGAGAGUUGAGAAUACCCGAAGUCCAUGUCAAAGUGGCCGAAGGUAGGCUUGAUGAUUGGGGUGAAGUCGUAACAAGGUAAC